rnacentral:rRNA from 1 species
ACGGCUCAGUAACACGUAGUCAACCUAACCUAUGGACGGGAAUAACCUCGGGAAACUGAGAAUAAUGCCCGAUAGAACACUAUACCUGGAAUGGUUUGUGUUCCAAAUGAUUUAUCGCCAUAGGAUGGGACUGCGGCCUAUCAGUUUGUUGGUGAGGUAAUGGCCCACCAAGACUAUUACAGGUACGGGCUCUGAGAGGAGUAGCCCGGAGAUGGGUACUGAGACACGGACCCAGGCCCUAUGGGGCGCAGCAGGCGAGAAAACUUUGCAAUGUGCGAAAGCACGACAAGGUUAAUCCGAGUGAUUUGUGCUAAACGAAUCUUUUGUUAGUCCUAGAAACACUAACGAAUAAGGGGUGGGCAAGUUCUGGUGUCAGCCGCCGCGGUAAAACCAGCACCUCAAGUGGUCAGGAUGAUUAUUGGGCCUAAAGCAUCCGUAGCCGGCUCURUAAGUUUUCGGUUAAAUCUGUACGCUUAACGUACAGGCUGCCGGGAAUACUGCAGAGCUAGGGAGUGGGAGAGGUAGACGGUACUCGGUAGGAAGUGGUAAAAUGCUUUGAUCUAUCGAUGACCACCUGUGGCGAAGGCGGUCUACCAGAACACGUCCGACGGUGAGGGAUGAAAGCUGGGGGAGCAAACCGGAUUAGAUACCCGGGUAGUCCCAGCUGUAAACUAUGCAAACUCAGUGAUGCAUUGGCUUGUGGCCAAUGCAGUGCUGCAGGGAAGCCGUUAAGUUUGCCGCCUGGGAAGUACGUACGCAAGUAUGAAACUUAAAGGAAUUGGCGGGGGAGCAC